rnacentral:tRNA from 1 species
GGCUGCGUAGCUCAGUUGGCUAGAGCGCACGGUUCAUACCCGUAAGGUCGGGGGUUCAAAUCCCUCCGCAGCUACCA